GCGGUAAUAGCUCAGUUGGUAGAGCGUUGGCUUCCCAAGCCGAAGGUCGCGGGUUCGAGUCCCGUUUACCGCU
rnacentral:tRNA from 1 species